GGAUUCUUGCAGUUUUUUCCAAGGAUCAGAUCAAGAGCUUGUAUCACGGUCUACUCAAUAGAACAAUCCGCUCCAAUAGGAUGUUCCUAUGACAGCAGCCAUCCGCGUCAGUUAAUUUGCAACAGCACUUAAAAAUCUUUGAGCUACUGAGGGUCACUGAGGAGGUCACAGGUGUAGGAGCGUGGAUAAAGACAGGGGAGAUAAAACUCCUGGAUUUUGUGUUCGAUGUUAUUCUCCCAGAGGUAAGAUGGUCAGUGGAAGGAAAUUAUUGGGUUAUUGUGGUCAAUAUGUUAUUCCUUUGGAAAACAUGAAUAUAAAACAAAGUAGGAUUGAAUCAUUUACU